AAAAAGAGGGGGGGACUGGACUUCCAUUAAACGUGAUCUCUCGCUGUAUCGACGAGGGGAAAUAACCGAAUCACAUUACUCGAAGUUAAAUGACUCAUUAACAGUGCUUCUUCUGUCGUAUCUCCCGGUGGACCUACAAAUCACAGUCGUCUUGAGGCAACCAGCAUCUGAACAUUAGCUCGCAGUCACCAUUUGUCAAGAGCACAUCAACACCUACACUAGGCUUAUUACCAUGGAAACACGGCCAUUUGGGAUCUUUUGGAAUUAAUGCAGACAAGUUUGGCACCCCUGGAUACCCGUCACCUCUUGAUCGUUUCAGAUGUCGACGCCAGUUGUCACAGUUACAUCACAAUGCCAGCUUUUCUCACUUCCCCAGAGUUCCCAGCAAGUGUAGUAGGUUGCAUCAUGCGGCCUCUGUGUCACGUCUUAGUGUAAUGCCAGGCAAUGGUCUCCAUAGUUUUAGCUUCUCUCCGGGGCUGUCAAAGGGGUCGUUUGGUUUCUCUGAGAAGGCCCCCAUUGGUCAGUGGCUUUU